AUUGAACGCUGGCGGCAGGCCUCACACAUGCAAGUCGAACGAGGGGCGGACGGGUGAGUAAUGUAUGGGAAACUGCCUGAUGGAGGGGGAUAACUACUGGAAACGGUAGCUAAUACCGCAUACCCUAGGAUGUGCCCAGAUGGGAGUAGCUAGUAGGUGGGGUAAAGGCGCCCCUAGGCGACGCGCCCUAGCUGGUCUGAGAGGAUGACCAGCCACACUGGAACUGAGACACGGUCCCGACUCCUACGGGAGGCAGCAGUGGGGAAUAUUGCACAAUGGGCGCAAGCCUGAUGCAGCCAUGCCGCGUGUAUGAAGAAGGCCUUCGGGUUGUAAAGUACUUUCGGCGGGGAGGCGUUACCCACAGAGGAAGCACCGGCUAACUCCGUGCCAGCAGCCGCGGUAAUAC
rnacentral:rRNA from 1 species